ensembl:snoRNA
GGCAGAUGAUGGUUUUUUCUCACGAUGGUCUGCGGAGGCCACUGACGGGCAGUGCCGAGAAUGCCACAGGCUCAGCUGAUGCCAGGAG